rnacentral:lncRNA from 1 species
GGCUCAGGCAGGAGACGGAGGAGAAGGAACUAUCCCCUCAAGAUUUAUUAACAGCUGUCCUCUAGGAGAAUGGCAGAAGGGGAGUUGGCAAGUUCUGAAGCCCACAUCCUUCUGCAGGCCAAGGGACAUACUUCCUAAGGCUCUUCAAUACAGUAGGUCAGUCUGGUGGGUCCCCAGCCAGCUACAGGUAGACCUCAGUGGGGAAAUUACCCUGGGUCCCCGGAUGAAGAGCCACACCCAUUCUUCCAUGACAGUCUGGACAGAGGAUCCAAGAUGGCUGAUGAGAAAUCCCCCAGGAGGUGGGGCAGCCCUGGUGUUCACAGCUCCAGCUGGCUAUGGAGAGGGCAUCGCUGGAUAGAACUGAGAUGGUGCCAGGCUCCUGAGGCUCUGAUGCCCAACCUGGCCUGCUCUGGCUGUUAGUUUCGCCGGACUGGAUGCCACAUGGACACAGGCCUGCGUAGUGUGGCCAGCAUCUGGUUCCAAUGUGUGGUGCCCAUGCCACUGACCCCUGGCCCAAUGAUGACAUGGCCCACGUUGUCCCCACGGCCGUCGCUGCUGCUCUCAGCCACUGUCACCCGGAGAGACAGGUCCUGGGAAGAAGGUGACAUGAAAGAUUGGGACCAGGAGCAGCUAAAGGGUUCUCCCUGGCUCCAAGGCUCCAAGGCCCUGUGAGGUGCAUACAGCUAUUUGAAUCUUCCCAUCUGGCUUGGGAGGAGAGACUUGUCCUAGUUACUUCCAGAUGGAUAAGCCAGCUAUGAUGUGACCUCGCUAAGUGCUAAAAAGUGACAGUCCCAGCAGGAUUCAAAAUCCAUCUCUCAGUUCUCUGUCCCUCGACAUUUUUUUCUUUAAGAUUUAUUUUUGAGUUUGAAAAGAUGGGUCAGCAAUUAAACACACUUGCUGUUCUUGCAGAGAACCUUGGUUUGAGUCCCAGCAUCUGUACAUCGACUCAGUCACCUGAGGCUAUCUGAACUCUCUCUGUGGGCGUCUGGCAUGCAUGUUAUGCACAUACAUACAUGCAAGCAAAAUGCUCAAACACUUAAAAUAAUAAAAACCUUCAAAAGAUUUUAUUGUAAAAUAUGUAUAUCUGUAAUGGGACAUACUCACAUACAUGGGCACGUGAGUAUAAAAGGCCAGAAGAGAGCACUGGACCCUCUGGAGUUGAGAUUC